UGACCUUUUUUAGUUUUUUAUUAACUAAACUAAUAAGCACACAUAAGCACAGUACAUUACAGUUUAACAAUGUUUAAAUCGGAAAUCACCAGGUGAAACAAUACAUCGUUCUCCCUGCCAAUGGUUCUGUAAAAAGCAGAGGGAUGGGGCUGGAGAAAUGGAACCAUAGUUUAAACCAUGUUUCCAGGCUAUAGUCCAGUGGUUCUGUAAAAAGCAGAGGGAUGGGGCUGGAGAAAUGGAACCAUAGUUUAAACCAUGUUUCCAGGCUAUAGUCCAGUGGUUCUGUAAAAAGCAGAGGGAUGGGGCUGGAGAAAUGGAACCAUAUUUAAACCAUGUUUCCAGGCUAUAGUCCAGUGGUGUCAAUCUCAUUCCAUGGAGAGCCUAGUGUCUGCUGGUUUGAGGUUUUUCCUAGGCAACCAGGUGAGGGGAGUUCCUUACUAAUUAGUGACCUUAAUUCAUCAAUCAUUUGAGGAGCAAAAACCCGCAGACACUCGGCUCACCCGUGGAAUGAGUUUGACACAUGCUAGUGUAAGUUUACAUUUACUUUGUUUACAAACAUUGGAGUAGAUAAAAAUAUAUAUUUUGGGAUCUGAUGGGGUACGGCAGUUGAACUAUGUUCAUGAGGCAUUUAUAAAUUAUAUUCUUCAAGAAUCCAAAAGUGGAUGUAGCAACUGCAGAUUGGCCAUUUAAAGGGGUGCAUCGGACCUGGUCAUGUAACCGGGCAAAAGCAGUAAUAGACGAGCGCCCUUCUCAAAUCUGUGCCACAUGAUCACAUUGUCAACAAGGAAGAAACAAAAGUUUUUUUUUCAUAAAAUGUUCAAACUAUUUUUCCUUAGGAAGGCAGAUAAAGCACAUAUGCAAAACAAAUGGAAUCACUUUUCAACCAGUGCAAACUGCACCCACCCAAACGAACACCUUCAGUCUGUGAUAGAUUCCUCGUCAUCAAAGCUGUAGUGGAUGCUGUCAUAGAUGUCAUCUAGGUCCUCUUCCAGGAGGUCAUCUAUGAAGUUAUUUUCUAGGAGGGAGGUGUCUUGGCCCAUAGCUUGCUGUAUAUCAGUUUGACAGAGUCCUGGUGUCUUUCGAGGCUGCUGACUCUCCUCUGAAGCAUGGAGAAGAGACCUCUGCUCCCAGCUUCCGACUGAUUCAAUUGCCAGCCUAACAC
rnacentral:lncRNA from 1 species